rnacentral:rRNA from 1 species
UACGUAGGGCGCAAGCGUUGUCCGGAAUUAUUGGGCGUAAAGAGCUUGUAGGUGGCUUGUCGCGUCUGCCGUGAAAACCCGAGGCUCAACCUCGGGCGUGCGGUGGGUACGGGCAGGCUAGAGUGUGGUAGGGGAGACUGGAAUUCCUGGUGUAGCGGUGAAAUGCGCAGAUAUCAGGAGGAACACCGAUGGCGAAGGCAGGUCUCUGGGCCACUACUGACGCUGAGAAGCGAAAGCAUGGGGAGCGAACAGGAUUAGAUA